AUUGAACGCUGGCGGCAUGCUUUACACAUGCCAGUCGAACGGCAGCGCGGGCUUCGGCCUGGCGGCGAGUGGCGAACGGGUGAGUAAUGCAUCGGAACGUGCCCAGUAGUGGGGGAUAGCGCGGCGAAAGCCGGAUUAAUACCGCAUACGACCUGAGGGUGAAAGCGGGGGACCGAAAGGCCUCGCGCUAUUGGAGGGGCCGAUGUCGGAUUAGCUAGUUGGUGGGGUAAAGGCUUACCAAGGCGACGAUCCGUAGCUGGUCUGAGAGGACGACCAGCCACACUGGAACUGAGACACGGCCCAGACUCCUACGGGAGGCAGCAGUGGGGAAUUUUGGACAAUGGGGGCAACCCUGAUCCAGCCAUGCCGCGUGCGGGAAGAAGGUCUUCGGGUUGUAAAGCGCUUUUGUUUGGGAAGAAAUCCUCUGGGCUAAUACCCCGGGGGGAUGACGGUACCGGAAGAAUAAGCACCGGCUAACUACGUG
rnacentral:rRNA from 1 species